UGGAUUAAGAGCUUGCUCUUAUGAAGUUAGCGGCGGACGGGUGAGUAACACGUGGGUAACCUGCCCAUAAGACUGGGAUAACUCCGGGAAACCGGGGCUAAUACCGGAUAAUAUUUUGAACUGCAUGGUUCGAAAUUGAAAGGCGGCUUCGGCUGUCACUUAUGGAUGGACCCGCGUCGCAUUAGCUAGUUGGUGAGGUAACGGCUCACCAAGGCAACGAUGCGUAGCCGACCUGAGAGGGUGAUCGGCCACACUGGGACUGAGACACGGCCCAGACUCCUACGGGAGGCAGCAGUAGGGAAUCUUCCGCAAUGGACGAAAGUCUGACGGAGCAACGCCGCGUGAGUGAUGAAGGCUUUCGGGUCGUAAAACUCUGUUGUUAGGGAAGAACAAGUGCUAGUUGAAUAAGCUGGCACCUUGACGGUACCUAACCAGAAAGCCACGGCUAACUACGUGCCAGCAGCCGCGGUAAUACGUAGGUGGCAAGCGUUAUCCGGAAUUAUUGGGCGUAAAGCGCGCGCAGGUGGUUUCUUAAGUCUGAUGUGAAAGCCCACGGCUCAACCGUGGAGGGUCAUUGGAAACUGGGAGACUUGAGUGCAGAAGAGGAAAGUGGAAUUCCAUGUGUAGCGGUGAAAUGCGUAGAGAUAUGGAGGAACACCAGUGGCGAAGGCGACUUUCUGGUCUGUAACUGACACUG
rnacentral:rRNA from 1 species